UGUGUGUUAGUGGAAGCGUCUGGAAAGGCGCGCGAUACAGGGUGACAGCCCCGUACACAAAAAUGCACAUGCUGUGAGCUCGAUGAGUAGGGCGGGACACGUGGUAUCCUGUCUGAAUAUGGGGGGACCAUCCUCCAAGGCUAAAUACUCCUGACUGACCGAUAGUGAACCAGUACCGUGAGGGAAAGGCGAAAAGAACCCCGGCGAGGGGAGUGAAAAAGAACCUGAAACCGUGUACGUACAAGCAGUGGGAGCACGCUUAGGCGUGUGACUGCGUACCUUUUGUAUAAUGGGUCAGCGACUUAUAUUCUGUAGCAAGGUUAACCGAAUAGGGGAGCCGAAGGGAAACCGAGUCUUAACUGGGCGUUAAGUUGCAGGGUAUAGACCCGAAACCCGGUGAUCUAGCCAUGGGCAGGUUGAAGGUUGGGUAACACUAACUGGAGGACCGAACCGACUAAUGUUGAAAAAUUAGCGGAUGACUUGUGGCUGGGGGUGAAAGGCCAAUCAAACCGGGAGAUAGCUGGUUCUCCCCGAAAGCUAUUUAGGUAGCGCCUCGUGAAUUCAUCUCCGGGGGUAGAGCACUGUUUCGGCAAGGGGGUCAUCCCGACUUACCAACCCGAUGCAAACUGCGAAUACCGGAGAAUGUUAUCACGGGAGACACACGGCGGGUGCUAACGUCCGUCGUGAAGAGGGAAACAACCCAGACCGCCAGCUAAGGUCCCAAAGUCAUGGUUAAGUGGGAAACGAUGUGGGAAGGCCCAGACAGCCAGGAUGUUGGCUUAGAAGCAGCCAUCAUUUAAAGAAAGCGUAAUAGCUCACUGGUCGAGUCGGCCUGCGCGGAAGAUGUAACGGGGCUAAACCAUGCACCGAAGCUGCGGCAGCGACGCUUAUGCGUUGUUGGGUAGGGGAGCGUUCUGUAAGCCUGUGAAGGUGUGCUGUGAGGCAUGCUGGAGGUAUCAGAAGUGCGAAUGCUGACAUAAGUAACGAUAAAGCGGGUGAAAAGCCCGCUCGCCGGAAGACCAAGGGUUCCUGUCCAACGUUAAUCGGGGCAGGGUGAGUCGACCCCUAAGGCGAGGCCGAAAGGCGUAGUCGAUGGGAAACAGGUUAAUAUUCCUGUACUUGGUGUUACUGCGAAGGGGGGACGGAGAAGGCUAUGUUGGCCGGGCGACGGUUGUCCCGGUUUAAGCGUGUAGGCUGGUUUUCCAGGCAAAUCCGGAAAAUCAAGGCUGAGGCGUGAUGACGAGGCACUACGGUGCUGAAGCAACAAAUGCCCUGCUUCCAGGAAAAGCCUCUAAGCAUCAGGUAACAUCAAAUCGUACCCCAAACCGACACAGGUGGUCAGGUAGAGAAUACCAAGGCGCUUGAGAGAACUCGGGUGAAGGAACUAGGCAAAAUGGUGCCGUAACUUCGGGAGAAGGCACGCUGAUAUGUAGGUGAAGUCCCUCGCGGAUGGAGCUGAAAUCAGUCGAAGAUACCAGCUGGCUGCAACUGUUUAUUAAAAACACAGCACUGUGCAAACACGAAAGUGGACGUAUACGGUGUGACGCCUGCCCGGUGCCGGAAGGUUAAUUGAUGGGGUUAGCGGUAACGCGAAGCUCUUGAUCGAAGCCCCGGUAAACGGCGGCCGUAACUAUAACGGUCCUAAGGUAGCGAAAUUCCUUGUCGGGUAAGUUCCGACCUGCACGAAUGGCGUAAUGAUGGCCAGGCUGUCUCCACCCGAGACUCAGUGAAAUUGAACUCGCUGUGAAGAUGCAGUGUACCCGCGGCAAGACGGAAAGACCCCGUGAACCUUUACUAUAGCUUGACACUGAACAUUGAGCCUUGAUGUGUAGGAUAGGUGGGAGGCUUAGAAGUGUGGACGCCAGUCUGCAUGGAGCCGACCUUGAAAUACCACCCUUUAAUGUUUGAUGUUCUAACGUUGACCCGUAAUCCGGGUUGCGGACAGUGUCUGGUGGGUAGUUUGACUGGGGCGGUCUCCUCCUAAAGAGUAACGGAGGAGCACGAAGGUUGGCUAAUCCUGGUCGGACAUCAGGAGGUUAGUGCAAUGGCAUAAGCCAGCUUGACUGCGAGCGUGACGGCGCGAGCAGGUGCGAAAGCAGGUCAUAGUGAUCCGGUGGUUCUGAAUGGAAGGGCCAUCGCUCAACGGAUAAAAGGUACUCCGGGGAUAACAGGCUGAUACCGCCCAAGAGUUCAUAUCGACGGCGGUGUUUGGCACCUCGAUGUCGGCUCAUCACAUCCUGGGGCUGAAGUAGGUCCCAAGGGUAUGGCUGUUCGCCAUUUAAAGUGGUACGCGAGCUGGGUUUAGAACGUCGUGAGACAGUUCGGUCCCUAUCUGCCGUGGGCGCUGGAGAACUGAGGGGGGCUGCUCCUAGUACGAGAGGACCGGAGUGGACGCAUCACUGGUGUUCGGGUUGUCAUGCCAAUGGCACUGCCCGGUAGCUAAAUGCGGAAGAGAUAAGUGCUGAAAGCAUCUAAGCACGAAACUUGCCCCGAGAUGAGUUCUCCCUGACUCCUUGAGAGUCCUGAAGGAACGUUGAAGACGACGACGUUGAUAGGCCGGGUGUGUAAGCGCAGCGAUGCGUUGAGCUAACCGGUACUAAUGAACCGUGAGGCUUAACCUU
rnacentral:rRNA from 1 species